rnacentral:rRNA from 1 species
GACGUAGGGCGCGAGCGUUGUCCGGAUUUAUUGGGCGUAAAGAGCUCGUAGGCGGCUUGUCACGUCGGAUGUGAAAGCCCGGGGCUUAACUCCGGGUCUGCAUUCGAUACGGGCAGGCUAGAGUUCGGUAGGGGAGAUCGGAAUUCCUGGUGUAGCGGUGAAAUGCGCAGAUAUCAGGAGGAACACCGGUGGCGAAGGCGGAUCUCUGGGCCGAUACUGACGCUGAGGAGCGAAAGCGUGGGGAGCGAACAGG